rnacentral:lncRNA from 1 species
UGGAACUCUGGUGGACCCAGCGUCCACCCCAUCUAGGAUUCCUGCCCUGGUCCCUCGAGCCCAAGCUCCCCAAUGCCUGCCCCAGCCUGAACUCCUCUGUCUUCCAAUUCCGCAUGAGUAGUGGGCGAGGCAUCUUUAUUGAUUGGCGGAUUAAUUGGCGGAAAAAGGCUGGCUUCUUGGAAUUGAUAAGUGGUCCUCCAAGCCACAAACACAAAGGCACAGCGGGGGAUCCUGGGGACUGAUGAUUCGUACCCAUCCAAGGGAGAACAGAGCUCCGCCACAGAGAGCAUCCACAGGUGCAAAGGGGCGACUGGUUUCCAGUGGUCCUCAGUACCUCCCCCUCUUUAAUUCUGUACCUUGAAAACUAUUCUCAUUUACCUCCAAACCCCUACAUUUGAUCUUGUCUAGCAAAUGUCUGUGCUUUCCUCGCCCCCAGGUUCCUCCUUGGGGAUCACAGUUCCCAGUCUCAGAUUCCACACUCUUUAUUACACAAGCGGAACUUGUGAAGGUCGUGAUGGAAAGAAAGCCCAGCUCAGGGAUGAGUCUGUAAAAAUCCUCAGAUACAGUAAUCGUCCUCCAGUUUCUGUUGUCAUAAGCCUGCUUGGUGCAGGGCAAAAGUAUCCUGGAGAGAGGUGGCGCCCAAAUGUCUAAAUCAGAUUUAUGGUUUGUUUUGUUUGCCCUUUUUUGGUAUUGAGGAUUGAACCCAGGGCGUUGCAUAAGCUAAGCUCCCGUCCACUACUGAGUUUCACUUACUGCCUGACUUUCCAUUUUUGAAUAGCAGAAACCAAUUCAAAAGCCAUGUAAAAGUCCAUCAUGUAGGGUCUGGCAAGAGUGGAGCACGCCUUUGGGAGGCUGAGGCAGGGGGAUUGCAAAUUUAAGGGCAGCCUGG